rnacentral:sRNA from 1 species
GCAGACAGGGACGGGGAACCCACCUGCCCAUCACGGGCACCGGAGGUAACUCCUUGGGGUGAAGCCGAAGUUCUUCUUCGGCAGGGCACAUCCUCCGCCCUAACCCGACAGCUAACCUCGACGGCGACAGAUGAGAGGA